UACGUAGGGCGCAAGCGUUAUCCGGAAUUAUUGGGCGUAAAGAGCUCGUAGGCGGUUUGUCGCGUCUGCCGUGAAAGUCCAGGGCCCAACCCUGGGAUGCCGACCGAUACUGUCGGACUAGAGUUCGGAAGAGGCGAGUGGAAUUCCCGGUGUAGCGGUGAAAUGCGCAGAUAUCGGGAGGAACACCAAUGGCGAAGGCAGCUCGCUGGGACGUUACUGACGCUGAGACGCGAAAGCGUGGGGAGCAAACAGG
rnacentral:rRNA from 1 species